rnacentral:rRNA from 1 species
GCGCACCAGUCGCGAAAACUUCACAAUGUGGGAAACCACGAUGAGGGAACUCCAAGUGCUUGCGCUUUGCGUAAGCUGUUCUUUUGUCUAAAAAACAAAAGAAGUAAGGGCCGGGUAAGACGGGUGCCAGCCGCCGCGGUAAUACCCGCGGCCCGAGUGGUGGUCAUUAUUAUUGAGCCUAAAGCGUCCGCAGCCGGUUUGGUAGAUGCCUGGGUAAAUCGAAUCGCUUAACGAUCCGAAUUCUGGGUAGACCGCCAAACUUGGGACCGGGAGAGGUUGGAGGUACUCCUGGGGUAGGGGUAAAAUCCUGUAAUCCUGGGAGGACCACCAGUGGCGAAGGCGUCACGCUAGAACGGAUCCGACGGUGAGGGACGAAAGCUGGGGGAGCGAACCGGAUUAGAUACCCGCGUAGUCC